rnacentral:lncRNA from 1 species
UUUCCUCAAGUUACAAUUUAUUGCAAAACUUUUAUUAUAAACCCCUAAUUUUACCCGUUUGUUUAAGUUUAUUGAUUCCCUUCCUUUAUUUGCGGUGAUGUUUCACCCCUGCUGAAUCCUUUUACCAAAUUAAGUAUAUUAUAUACGUAGACUAAAUUAUAUUCCAUAUACUUUUACUACCCCUUAUAUGGUAAAAAUCAAUCUUCCUCAAACUGAUUUUCUUUCCUUAAUUACCCAUUUCCUUAAUUACUCAUAUUAGUAUCCAUUUGAGCAGUAACUCCUUAAUUAAGGGGAAGUACUUGUAUUAAUUGAUUCUGAUAAUGAUUAUUUUCAUAUUUGUGUUAAACCUUUACUUGUUACCUUAUUUUCCUCUUCUUUUCUAAGCUAUAAAUGCCAUACUCUCUCUUCUUUAAAGAUGGAAAAUUAGUUCAGAAUACACAAAUAUACACUCAUACUCUCUCUUCUUUCUGUACUAUUUUCUACUACUUUGUCUAGCCGGCUGAAAACCAUGGCUAGACUAUGGAACACUGACUGGUUUACUUUUUCUAUACUUUACUUCCUCAACUGGUAUGUUCUUAGUUUAAAUUCUGAAACUCAACUCUAUGUGUUUCUUUGUUUGUCAAUCCUUGUCUCUUUCUGCACUAAAUUAAUGUCUCAUGUUGUUACAUUGUACUUCUUGUUUACUUCUUUACUCAGCAUGUAUAAAAUUCUGCCCUCCUUUGUUCAAAAUGUAAUCCGCAUGUUUACUUGUUCCUGUUUAUGUCAUUUAACUAGCAUAACUCCUAAUGUACUUGAUUCAUGACUAAUUAUGGGUUUUUUUUUAAUUUGGACCUCUGUGUCCCCAACCCCUAUUUCCCUGUUUGAAACUCUUGAAGUUGUACUGCUAUUUGAACUUGUUAUUUAUGUGUUGUUGUGGCUACUAUCCCAUUCCCCUUUUCAAAACUAUUUUUCCUUAAGCAACUGUUCUACUGUCUUUUUCAAACUCACUUCAAACAUGUUGUUUUCAAACUAUUUUCCAACUCAAAUCUUUUAAAUCUAUGUUAAGCACUCUCACCUAUAAUCUUAGAAUACUAGGUUCUGCCCCUUUGUGUGAGCCUUACCUUGGGACCUUUGAGAUCCCUCUGAACUUGGACACAUGAAAGCUAGCCUUUCCACACUGCACUUACCCUGUCUUGGCUUGAAAAUCGGGGUGUGACCGCUGCCCAAGAUCCUUUGAGGUCCUUAGGAAACUCUAACACACCUAGAUAUGGGAAAGAUAUGAACAAUAAUGGCAUUUAAGGUGGUUUAUUACAUAUCUCAGAGAGGAAGUCCUAAUCAGGCUUCAUAUAGUUAUAUAUUGUUUUUCAUUUCUUCUUAUGUAAUUCAAUAAAAUGGUUUGUAAUAACUUGUAGACAAGUAUUGUGGUAGCUAGUGAAAAGGGAUGGGGAAAUAUGCAUGCUAUAGUUGUUAAAGGUAGAAAGCAUGUUAUUAAGUUUAUAUUCCUACUUGCACAAUAGAAACCAUGUUUAGGAUUCACACAUACAUUAGAAAACCAUGUUCUUAGAACCUUUGUUUCCUACUUCAGCAUCUCAUCCACCACUUAUCCAUGUUUUACCAUUUAGAAAUCCUGCUUCUAGGACAAUAACAACAUUGGCAUAUAAACUGCUACUCAUGAAGUCGUAUUUCAACAAUUCUGCAACUAUUGUGUACAUUUAGAAAUCAUGCAUUAGGGAUUCUGCCAUUUGCUUGUGCAUAAUAGAUAUCAUCUUCUAGGAUCCUGUUUGCAUUUCAUUCAAAAUGCCUAGUUAAUUACUGAUUUAUGAAAAAUCUAGUAAAGUAAUAAUUUUCACACUGUAAUGUUUUAUGAAUGAAAUUGGUAAGAAUCUCUGCAAGUAGAAUAGCAUGUUUUAGGUAAAGAAUAAUCCCCAAUCGUCUUACCAAUUCUGAAUAACUUUGCAUAUCAUUUUGCACCUAAGAAAGCCUUAGGUAAUAACUUUAAUAAAAUUAGAACUGCCUUUAUCUAAUUAUCAACUAUUAAAGUUAGUAGGAAAACCUAAUUCGGAUUUCUUUUUUGAGUUAUGUAAUAAAUCUGGUACUAAUGUUACCACUUAGCACCCCGCUUUAGGAUUCUUAAAUUAGACCUUAACUGUGUAUGAGUUAUGCUGACUAUGUGCAUUAUUUGUGGAGGUAUAACUGAGCCUUCUGCUUGUUUUUCUGUGUUUUCCCCUUUUAAAUGCAGUCCUACUUGUUUUGUAUGUCGCCU